UUAACAUCAAAGGGACAGGGCCUAGAGGAAAAAAAAAAUAGUAAAUGGUAUUUUAUCUCAAGAACACCUGAUGUGACGUUUCCAGAGGCCAAUGUAGUAAUGGCUGCAGGGAACAACACUACAGUUGCCCGUGGUUUUGCUUCUGUUCAGUCUCCAUGGUGUCAUGCCACACUCUCCUGGUUUGUGCCCUGCUCGUUUCUUUACUGCCUUUCUGCCUGCCCUUUUUGUGCUGGUAGGUCAUCCCAUUCAUGCUCAGCCUUCCUCACUGUCUACACGGUCUUCUGGGGCAAUCGUAUCCAGUCCCAAGCCUUUUAAAAAAACAAGCUAUACCCAUCCUGGUGGAAUUCCUGCCUAUAAAAGGGCACACCUUCAGACCUCCAGGCAUCUCCAGCCAACACUGCUAUGCACACGGAACCGAAUUCAGUUGUGUGGGACCUGCAGCUGCGAUUGGGUUUCAAACUCCUAUUGCUGAUGAUCAAGUAAAAAUAUGAAUGUGCUGGAUUAAAUGCUUUAUUCAGCUUAUCUGCAUCUAGGUUAUCUAAAUUACACACCCACUUAAAACAUUCUGUCACCUCUUCUCUUGGAAUAAUUAAUUAUUUUAAUGUAAUUCAGAUCUCAUUUUAUCCUAGCCCAGCAGUACCUGGGAGAGAAUGACUCAAUCAUAGUAAAAUCAUAUUAAAUUAUAUUCCACUGAUUCAGAAUUGGAGAUAAUCUGGCAAUUAAAGUGAGAAGUGUGUCAUUCCUCUCCUGGAAGAAAUGAACAGUAAUGAUGGUAUCACAGAGAUCAUACAUAUAAGGGCCCAAUACAUGUUCAAAACAUGCCCACCAGCAACUGCCUUACAUACCUUGCUCCCAAACAUACUGUUACAAUUUCUAUCUUUCAAACUAACUGUAAAUUACAAAUGUGGUACCCAAAUACCUGUAUGCACAUAAAUAGGAAAAGGUAAACUCUUUUUUUUUUUUAGGUGGAUUCUCACUCUGUCACCCAGGCUGGAGUGUAAUGG
rnacentral:lncRNA from 10 species